GACGAACGCUGGCGGCGUGCUUAACACAUGCCAGUCGAACGGAAAGGCCCUGCUUUUGUGGGGUGCUCGAGUGGCGAACGGGUGAGUAACACGUGAGUAACCUGCCCUUGACUUUGGGAUAACUUCAGGAAACUGGGGCUAAUACCGGAUAGGAGCUCCUGCUGCAUGGUGGGGGUUGGAAAGUUUCGGCGGUUGGGGAUGGACUCGCGGCUUAUCAGCUUGUUGGUGGGGUAGUGGCUUACCAAGGCUUUGACGGGUAGCCGGCCUGAGAGGGUGACCGGCCACAUUGGGACUGAGAUACGGCCCAGACUCCUACGGGGCAGCAGUGGGGAAUAUUGCACAAUGGGCGGAAGCCUGAUGCAGCAACGCCGCGUGCGGGAUGACGGCCUUCGGGUUGUAAACCGCUUUCGCCUGUGACGAAGCGUGAGUGACGGUAAUGGGUAAAGAAGCACCGGCUAACUACGUG
rnacentral:rRNA from 1 species